UACAGAGGGUGCGAGCGUUAAUCGGAAUUACUGGGCGUAAAGCGCGUGUAGGCGGUUCGGUAAGUCCGCUGUGAAAGUCGGGGGCUCAACCCUCGGAUGCCGGUGGAUACUGUCGGACUAGAGUGCGGAAGAGGCGAGUGGAAUUCCUGGUGUAGCGGUGAAAUGCGCAGAUAUCAGGAGGAACACCGAUUGCGAAGGCAGCUCGCUGGGACGUUACUGACGCUGAGACGCGAAAGCGUGGGGAGCAAACAGG
rnacentral:rRNA from 1 species